CUUCUUCUCCCCCAUUUUCCCUCCUGCACUCCCCUCCAGCCACAGUGGCCUCCUGGCUGCACCCCUGCCUUAGAGUCUUUGCUGUUUCCCUGCCUAGAAUGCUUUUUUCUACCAGAUGUCUAUUUGAAUAACCCUCUUCCUCCUCCUUCAAGCCUGCUCCAAUGUCACUUCUUAGUGAGAUCACCUUAAAUAUCCUAUUGAAUCCUGCAACCUGCUGCCCCUUCAGCCCCUGCCCUCCCAAUCCCACUUACUCUGUUGUUUUUUUCCUCUUUUUCAGCAGAACAUAUACCUUCUAUCACAAGUUGGUUGCACCGGGAAAUAGAGUCCGAUAAGACUUCGGUUUGCAGGAAGUUUACUGGGGAAGACUCUUAAGGGAGUGGAGGAAGCACUUUAGGGACCUUUAGGGAGUGGAGGAAGCAGAACCAGGCAGAGGGAAAAGUUGAAUUGUGAUGUCACAACAAAGGCCUCAGCUGACCCCAUGGGGAGCUGUGAGCUGGGGUGACUUUCAAAGUCUUCUGCAUUAAGAAAAGAAGCUCCACGAGGGACAGGAAUAUCUGCGAGUAUAGCUCCCUGAUGUUUUCCAAGUGCCUGGAACAGUUUUGGCCCAUAGUAGGCUCUCCAUAUAUAUUUGCUGAAUGAAUGAAUGAACCUGCUCAUUUCUCAAUGUACUGCUUGUGUCUGCCAUCAACGUUACUGGAAUCUCAAUCCCAGUUUUGCCACCAAUCAGCUGUGCAAACUAUGGGCAAGUUUUCUAACUUUUUGGAGCCUCUGCUUCUUCAUCAGUAAAAUGGAAUAAGAGAAGUACCCAUCUCACAGGGUUUUAGGAGGAUGAGCCACUUUCCAGAUAUGAGCCCCUAAAAGACCCAGAGUCCAUUGAUUGAGGAGGAGGCCAAGUCCCCUUGAGGAAGGACUCCGCAAAGCCACUUCAGGACUUCGAUUGUCUCGACGUUCCAAAAACAUCAUGCUGGUCCACUAUACUGAUGGCAUCAUUCUCAACAAAUCCAACGAACCGGAAGUGGCAAGUACUGGGAUGCCCUAAUAAGAGACAUGCAUGUCGAGAGGACAUAAAAUCUACAAAGAUUCAGGCCUUCAAGCAUUGAUUAAGCAUAUACAGAUGUGACAACCAGUGCACAGAGAGAUUAAGUAACUUGCUGUCCAGCUGGUGUGUGGUGGAGCCCAGGGUGAACCCCAGGUGGCCUCUAAAGCAUUGUCUUCCAACGUGCAAUGGAGUGUGAAAUGUGGAAGCCGUGGGAAAGCACAGGAAAUCAGCCGUGGAAGAAGCAAUGGUUGGAUUUAUCCCGUGGCGACACCCACCACAGCUGCAUUCCGGUAAUCUGCACCCCUCAUCCCAACAUCCUCACCAUGCUCUGCGUGUGGGGCAACUUGUCUUCUUGAUCGGAGGAGAUCUACGGCGAGGCAGCCCUACCCUUUUGUUUCGGCUCUUGGAAAACCCCAAACCUCAAGGCCAUACACUCCUUGUGACCAAGUGAGCAUCUUGUCAACUUCCCGGCUUUUCCAAAGAGACCUAACUCCUGCUGGGGGUCCCCCAAGUCACCCCUCAUGGCCCUUCUAGUGCUCUGGAAAUGGCUGAAACCAAUGGGUUAACUUGCUUUCCCUAUUAAAUAUUUACAUAAGCAUGCUUGGGAAGGUGUGUGUAAGUUAUCAAUAAUGCAAGGCCAGCCUAGGCUGGGUGAGAGCUAAGAGACCCAAAUUGUAUCAUCAUAAUCCAUUAUUCACAUAUAAUGCGUCUAUUCUCCUCCAUUAGCGAAGGCAGGAAAUGCCCCUGAGUGCCGGGCAGGGCUUUGGAAAGCGCAAUAAAUGGCGGAUAGACACAUGGCAGGAGGGCGGCAGCUGUAGUUAAACAAGUGUAAAUUAGUGCCCAGCCCCGCUCCCUGCCUGCAGCCAGAGCAGUGGGCACAGGUCUGGCAGGGAGGGGGUUACAGGAUUUGGGGAAGGCGCUAUCAAUCCAGACAGCCCCGGUGGCCUCCCUGGAAACCCUUCCGGAGGAGCCCUCCGGCUGGCCACGUGGGAGACCAUGCCUCAGAGAGCACAGGCUUCUGCUCUGCAGGCCUGGGCUGGAAUCUCAGUUGCACCUCUGAGUGGUGACCUGGGGUGAGAGGGUGGAAGGGGCUGCUACUCAGUCUGCCCUACACUGAGCCUCGGGCCCCAUCUGUAAUACAGGGAUGAGAAUCGCCGUCUUACAAGGUUUUUGCGUGAAGGAAAUAAAAUGAGGAAGGAGAAGUUCCCAGCACCAGGCGCAUGGGAGGCCCUUACAGAAUGAAAGAACACCCCUCUCUCUCCUCCCACUAGGCAGUUUCUGGCUUAGGAAUAAAAUGUGAGGUGCUUGGCACUGCACCCAAAUGGAGGUGGUACAAAGGCAAAGCGAGGUAAAGACAGAAGUGGCUUUAUGUUGUCCCCUCUUCGGUGUCGCUGUCCCUAUAGGAGGCUCCUCCCCUCUGGACCUCACCCCAGCCCGGUGCUGCAGUCAGUCAGUCUCCUGGGCUCGGCAGGCACACUCACCAUCCACACCUCAUCUCCAGGGCAUCUUCAGGCUUUGGUCCAUCCUCAUCCUCUUUUUUUUUUUUGAGACUGAGACCCAGGAUGGAGUGCAAUGGCACGAUCUCAGUUCACUGCCACCUCCACCUCCCAGAUUCAAGUGAUUCUCCUGCUUCAGCCUCCUGAGUAGCUGGGACUACAGGCGCCCACCACCACGCCCAGCUGUUUUAUAUUUUUAGUAGAAGACAGGGUUUCACCAUCUUGGUCAGGCUGGUCUUGAACUCCUGACCUCAGGUGAUCCACCUGCCUUGGCCUCCCAAAGUGCUGGGAUUACAGGUGUGAGCCAUCACCCCCAGCCUGUCCUCACCCUCUUCUCAGCACUACCGUAUUUCCCUGGGAGGCGGGUCCUGCACAGAGACUAGUGUAUCUGCUGUAGAAACAACCCCAGAACAAACAGAAGUUUUGGAUUACCCAUGAACUGGAAGGUGGACUUUUGGUAUAAAGAGCACCAGACUGGGAGUUGGGAGAGCUGAGUCCUUAUCUCUGUCACCGCUGAUGCUCUGUGGUUCACAGAGAGUCCCAUGGCCUCUGGACUUCAGUCUCGCUACCUGUAGCAUCAGAGAGUUAAUCAAAUGAGAUGAUUACCCCGCAGGACUUAGUGAAUGUGAAGUGAUAGGUGUGGCUAGGUUUGUCUGAGGACCCUUCCUGGCUUCAGAACCCUGAGGAUUCUGGAUCAAGUCUUGUGGUGUCUCGUCCCCACAGCUACCAUGGGAUUUCUUCUAGCACCCAAGCUGUGUUGUGGCACAGAGACCCGGGGCCCUGGAGUCAGGUGGAUGGGCAUGAGCUUGACUCACCUUUUACAGAGGAGUCACAUUAGCAGCCCCUUCUUACCCCUGCCCUCCCACUGUAAGGAAUCACGAGCUCAGCACCUAACAGUAUGGCAGUGAUGGCUGCUCAGCAGAGGCCACAAAACAAAAUGCGGAUUUGGAAAGGCAGGAAGCAGGUGACCAGGUUUUGGACUUUUCAGACAAUGGUGUCCACACGUGGGCGAUUUGUCCGGGCCAGACCGCUUCUUGGCUCUGACGCCACCUCCACAGAGAUGCCCUCCCUGCCCUAUCUAAGAGCUGCUCCACCACUCUCUUUCCCCCACCCUUUUUAUUUUUCUUUCCAUCGCUACCUGACAUUUUAUUGUAUACCUGGUAGUUUCCUUGCCCAUUGUGUUUUCUCAACUGGAAUGUUGUUUCCACAAGGGCAGAUAUCUUGUCCGUCUUGUUCUCUGCUGUUCCCCUGAGGCCUAGCAUGGUGCCUGGCCCCUAGGAGAAAUGCGAUACAUACAUACUGAAUGAAUGAAUGAAUGAAUGAUUGUAGAUUCAAAUUUUGCACACAUAUAUCGAGCACCUACUCUAGGCAAGUCACAGUGCAGGUGCUUUGUCAUAUGUUACACAUUCAAUCGGCUUAACAAUGACAUCCAUGCAUAUAUAUUAAGACCAGUGGGCACUAACAUUAAAUUGCAAUUGAAUGAGCCUGGUAGGAAUCCUUCACAACUCCUCUCCUGCUUCAUUUGGGCCAGGGGGCCGAUCGUGAUCGGAAGGGCCAAACAGUUGAAUGAUGUUGUGUUUUGAUGUCUCCCAGGCUUUCCUUCUUGUCCUUCCUUCAGUCCAGCUCAUCCGCUCUCAAACUCAAGGGUGUUUAGGUAAAACUGUACUAGGCUCUAUACAAAGAAAACCAGAGAGCCAAUUUAAGGGAAUUCAAGAGCAAUUUGGACUCUAUGCAACUUUUGCCUGAUAUACCAGUUUUAGAAUCAAAUGCUCACAUACUAUGUAAGAUUACUCUAAUAGCGGUGUGGCUUUGGGCAAGUUACUGACCCUCCUCGAGCCUCAGCUUCCUUAUCUGUAUAUGAAGAGAUUAAUCGCCACCUUACAGAGUAGAAGAGAUCUGCAUAUGAUCUGUGUAUGAUAAGCGAUAGGUGGGUUUGAAUCCUACUUUCAGCACUAACUAGCCAUGUGACCAUCCAGUGCAGUCACUGCCCGUGGGGCAAUAGUCGGCAGGUGGUCAAAGAAAAGCCUCAGAGUGGGCGCAGUGGCUCACGAGUGUAAUCCCAGCACUUCGGGAGGCAGAUCACCUGAGGUCAGAAGUUUGAGACCAGCCUGACCAAUACAGAGAAACCCUGUCUGUACUGAAAAUACAAAAAAUAGCUGGGCGUGGUGGUGGGCGCCUGAAAUCUCAGCUACUCAGGAGGCUGAGGCAGGAGAAUUGCUUGAACCUGGGACGGUUGCAGUGAGCCGAGAUUGUGCCAUUGUACUCCAGCCUGGGUGAUGAGUGAAAUUCUGUCUCAAAUAAAAAAAAAAGAAAGAAAAAAUAAACACUUUAAGAGAACACAGAUGGUUACAUUUGACAAAAAAGGUUCUAGCAACCUCACCUCCUGGAAUCUCCAAAUGUUCUCCAGUCCUGCCUGCUUUACAACAUACAGUGGCCCUAAUCAGUCAGCAUUAUUAUCGUUCUUCAUUCAUUUAGCAAGUAGGUGUUGAGUGCUAUUAUGUGCUAGGCGCUGUACUAGGGAGCGCAGGAAACAAGUCAGGCAGUCCCCAUCCUCAUGGAGCAUGCAAUUUGGUGGCCACAGUGUUAAAAAACCCCAAGAACAAUAAUAACAAGACUGUGUCCAUUUAUAACAUGCCAGAUCCUGGGCUAUAUGCUUUCAUACGGCACCCUAUUUAACCCUCACAACAUUUCUAUGAGGCUCAUAUUAACAUCCUCAUUUAUAAAAACCUAAAGCCCAGAGAGGUUAUGUGACUUUUCCAAGGUCCCAGAAUUAGUAAGUGGCAGUGGAGACGCUGGAAUCCAGAUCCAUCUGUUUCCACAGUGUCACCGUGACCUUUUCCUCCGAAGUAGCUUCCAAAAAGGGAGAAACUCCUGGGCUACCUGGGACCUUCCAGAGGAAGGAAGGGCCUGGUGAGGACAGGAGGGAGCAGUUGAUCCUGAAAGCCUUGCUCAGUGCUGCAGUGUGGAGACUGUCCUCCUGCAGAUGCAGGAGCCCUGCGUGGGGUGAGGGGUAGUAAGUCCCAGCUCAGCAUGCUGGUGGAGGUGCCCCUGAGGAAGGGCCAGCCCUGGGCUUGUUUGGACGGUGCCCCAAGCUGGCGGUGUGACAUCUUUACUGUCUGAUUAUUUAUAGAGACCUGGGACAGCAGGCAGCCAAGGCAGCUCUGAAGUUAUGGGCUUGGGGACCAGGAGAAAUAAACAGCCUUGAACAACCCCAGCCUGGUACGGGAAGAUGUGGAGCCAGGAUGAGCUGUCUGCUCUGCAGCCUGCUGGGGGCCAUAUGAAGGGAGGAAGGACUGGGGUCCCUGGAGCCUGUAGAGAUCAUGUUGAUGAGUUAGGGAACAGGCCAGACACGUCUCUCCCUUGGCCACUGGGCUGGGGGAGAUCUGGGAGCCUCAGCCCUGUGAUGGAGGCAGUGAUCUCACUGGGGAAGGCCUGGGGCCUGGGGCUCAGGCCAUCAUGGACAAGAAGUUCCAGGCUGUUGAUUCUGCAUGAGGUCAGUUUUAUCAGGGUUCUAUUAGAGAAGCAGAACGUGCGUGAUUUGAGGUCUUGAUGCUUGGGGCAUGGCCGUUCCUGAUCAGGGGAGCUGCUAGGCAGUGGUGUCAGUCUGUAUCCACGUGUCUGCUCCAGACCUGGAGUCAGCAGGGCUGUCAGUCAGCAAGAGAAGAUGGACAGGAAGAGGAGGUGGCAAGGACAAGGCAGAACCUAAAAGGAUGGUCUGAACACACAAGGAGGAGCGUCACCAAUCGAGGGCUUGCUGGGACGGCAUCUGCUUCUCCCUGGGCCCUGGGUGGCCUCCCACUGCCUCCACGCCUCCAGCUGAUGAUUUGGGUGAUCUGCAGAAGAGCUAGCCUGCAUCACCACGAAGCUGCACACAAACCUGGCUCCGAGUUUGGAGAAGCUGAAAGAGGAGAUCAGCUGGGGUUGCCCCUCCAAGAUCCCAAGCCAACAAGGUGAACCAGCAGGUGGGCGGCACACUCAUGAGCUGAGAAUCACCUGAACCCACCCAGACCCUGGGGGCAAACGAAGCUGCUGCUCCACCUUCCGGAUCUCACACAAGUUUCUCCUGUGGUCACUCCUAACCCAGAACCAUUCAGGAAAGGAAAUUCCAGGACACGCAGUUCCAGCUUUGCUAAGUUGACACAUUAUGAAGCUUCUACAUUCACUGUGUAACUUUGACCAAGUCCUUGACCCUUUCUGGGCCUCAGUGUCAUCAUCAGUAAAAUGUGGAUGGACUUCUCAGUGGUUCCUCUUUUAAUGUAAAAAACAAAACAAAACAAAACAACAAACGAACAGCAAUAACACAACUCCAAACCCCCAAAACUCCAAAAACAAAACAAAAAAGAGGUGAAGAGACAUGCGUUGCCUCAUCUUUCCUUUGAGUGCCAAUGAACACGAGGUCUCCUCUAAAUAAACCUGCAAAUCCCCAGGAGGCUGAGGCCCCAGGCGGGGAAGCACUUGGGAUAGAUCAUUUGCAGGUCCCUCCUCCUCUGACAGAGAAAAUGAGGUUGAGCUUAAGGGCAAGACCUGAGCUCUAGCACUGCUGCUGAGUGACAAAGCAAGGUGCCAAGCCUCUCUGAACCCAGCUUCUUUCCCUGUGUGAUGAGGACAAUUCUUUUACUUUUCAGGGGUCCAUCACAUAGAUGUUGCCAGAUGCUGGGGUAGGGCUCAGAGUAUAUGACAGGCUUCUUAGAUGGUGACUCGGGAUCAGCUUUGUGGAAACUGCUGUCUGAGGACAGGGAGACAGUGAGCUCCAGGUCUCCUCCUCCAUGGAGCUCUCUGGACCAUUAACUAACGGUUUGGAAACCAUUUAAACAAAAGACUGUGGGGCUUCAGGACGAGGGAGACAGAUUCUUUCUGAGAAGGCUUGUAGGGGAGGGAGCCUUUGAACUGGGCCUUGAGGAAUGGAUGUAGCGGUGGUUAACCCAAAUGGAGGGAAAGAGGGUGGCUUAGGGAGAGUGAAGGCUGGGCAAAGCCUGCAGUUGGGUGCAUGCAGUGUGUAUCUAGGGACUGGCAAGGGCUAUGGUGUAGUGGAACAGAGACUUUGCAGGCAGGAAGAGGAAGGGGUGGGUGGAGAAGGAGCUGAGGAUUAGCUUGCAGAGUUUUGAACGCAUGCGAAAGCGUUCAUCCCAGCAUUCGCUGAAAUAGCAGCUAGUGCAGGAGGCUCAAGUGUGCAACACUAGAGUUGCCCCAAACGGGGCACCAGGGGUCCCCACAUUUUCCAGGCCUUUGGGGUCAUUCUUUCACAUUUAAAAGCGGUAACUCAAGCCCUUUCCAUGCAGUAGAAGCCCCUCUAAGUAUUCCCGAGGGAGGCUUACCAUCCUUUCAUCAGGUUCGCUGCCGCUGGCUGCCUAAGUGCCUUCUGCAUCCUGUAGUGCCUGUCCUCACUUGCUGAUGUCUUCAGUCCAAGCUGGACCCUGCCUGAUUUCCUCUGCUCGGGGAGUCCACUGGCCCAGGGAUGUUGGGCUUUAUCAAUGGUUUAUAGGACAAUCAUGGAAUAUUCAGUACCCUGCAUCAGACUUGCACCUUGGGAGGAGUAUUUUCUAAUUAAUUAAUUAAUUAAAAAUUUUGAGAUGGCGUCUCAUGCUGUCACCCAGGCUGGAGGGCAGUGGCACGAUCUCGGCUCAGUGCAACCUCCGCCUCCCGAGUUCAAGCGACCCUCUUGCCUCAGCCUCCUGAGUAGUUGGGAUUACAGGCGCAUGCCACCACACCUGGCUAAUUUUUGUAUUUUUAGUAGACAGAGUUUCACCAUGUUGGUCAGGCUGGUCUUGAACUCCUGACCUCAGGUGAUCCACCUACCUCAGCCUGCCAAAGUGCUGGGAUUACAAGCAUGAGUCACUGUGAUUGGCCAGGAGGAGUAUUUAUGUCACAGAAAUCAGCAAAUGCUGCACAUCAAGGUCUUUCAGCCCUUUCCUAGAGAGUUGUUUCUUCAACCCCCACCAGCAUAAUCAUUUGAACUACUGAUUAUGCGUGGUUCAAAUAACACUUUUGAAGUGAAGAUCCUAUAUCUGGGCCCUAUAUAAAAGUCCCUUAGCCAAAACCCAUACUGGGGAAGUUCUUGCUGUUGGAAUUCCUUCACAGGACCCUAAGUUUUCUGCCAUAUUGCUGGCAUUCUCUCUCCAUAAACUCCCCACACAUCUAUUUCUCCCAGAUCUUUGGGGAAACUCCACAUUCUACACGCAAUUCCACCCUCUCUUCGCCUUGCCAUCUCUUUCCAGGCCAUGUCCUGGGGUGGACGCUUUCCAUUUCACACCCUCAGAGGCUCACCAAGUUAUUUUUCUUUUCUAUAGGGAGGAAGUUGCAGAUAGGAGAGCUUGAAACAGAUUUGUUUUCCCUUCCACUAUGCGAGUCAGCUGAGUUGGAUUCAAAAGGUUGUUCCGCAGAUAUUAAAAGUGAGAAUUGGGAUGCCUGGAACAGCGUGGGAAACACUCGUGGGUCACAUGCUCGGAUCUGCACUCUCACUUCUGGGAAUCAGUUCUACGGAAACAUUUGCACAGAUGUAUGUGUAUGGAUGUAUGGUGGCAUGGUGGCACUGUGUGUGAUAAAUAUUGGAAAUCUUCUAAUCGCCUGGCAAUGGAGGGGUACGUGAAAUAAGCAAUGGAAUGUAUAAAGUAGAUCGAAAGGUAGAAGUGGGUCUCUAUACAUCCUGACAUGAAAUAUUUUCACAACAUUUUUACAGAAAAAAGUUGCAAAACAGAAUUUUUUUUUUUUGGUAAAAAUGUCUUAAAGUAUACAUACGUGUGUGCGUGUGUGUCUGUGUGUGUGUCUGUGUGUGUGUGUGUUUAUAGAAACAGAAAAAUGUCUGGAGGAUGAGCCUUCCACUGUUAAUAGUGGCAAUCUUAGGGAAUGGGUGUCUUUGGGGAGGGGGCAAUGUUCCCCUUUUAAUAUCCUAUAUUUCUGCAUAGUUUGCAUUUGUUACCAUAAGUGUAUAUUGCUUAUGUAAUGUUUUUAAAACCAAUUAUUUUUACAAAGAGAAAAUGCUUCGAACCCAAUGCCAAAUAUAGACAGUGGGAUGCAAAAUUGCUUACAUAUGGUGGUUACAACUCUACAGAAACUUGUGUCUGCAUGGACAGGAAUGGAGUGGGGAGCAUCCUAUAAGAAGUGACUGGUGGUUAGGGCAGGGUCCAGGGAGAGUUCUUUUUCCUUUCAGGAGGUUGGGUAGGGCUGAGAUCUGGAACAUCUCAAAUUCCUCCCAGCACCUUCCUUCAUUCCACUCCUAGCCAUGUUCCCGUCACUUACAAGUGGCAGUGGGGAUCAACUAUUCAAUUAUUUUUUAAUAGUCGAGCAUAGGUCUGAAUUGAAUAAAUCACAUUGAUGCCAAUUUCCAGGGAACUCCUUUCAUAUUUUAUGAUUCACUCCCCACCUUCCCCCCUUCCUUCCUUGUGCUCCUCCUAAUGAACCGGGAGACUGUGCAUACUGUUCGGAUGUCCCCACUGCUAAACCCCAAAUGGAAAUGCUGUGGCUGAAAGCAUCGCGGUUCUGGUUUUUUUUUUUUUCCUUUUCCUCCUUACAGUCCUGGGAAAUUGAUAUGCAGGCAGGAUUAUGUUUUGUUUAAAGCUCAGUCCUGGCAUCUGAAAGAAUACAUUAUCCAAAGUGGUGCAUGUGGUUGAAAUUCUGCAAAACUCAGUUGUGUCACACGUGGCUUGCCAAUGAGGGGCCCAGCUGGGUCUCAUGCAGCAUAAAUGCCCUGGAUCAGGGAGAGUGUAACCGUGGAAAACCAUCCGCUGAGGAAUAUUCCUGAAGUCAAUAAUUUAUCUGCUGCUGGUGGAAGGUAGGCCUACCAGGCACCUCUGCCACCACCGUGAUCACCUAAUAUGCCACCAACUCCCAGUCCUGGGGAUGAACUCUGCUUUCUUCCUUUCCAGUUUCUUUAAGAUUAGAAGAAUUUGUUCAAAGAACUGAUUGCACAUAAACACAGAGACUAGAGGGUUUUACCCACCCCCUCUUUCUUUUCGUUUUGUAAAAUGGUUGUAAAAAACAAACAAACAAAAAAACCAAGUCUGUUUGGAAUUUAGAAUUCUGGAACUGCAAGAGAAAGAACUGGACUUCACCACGUGUGCCUUGGUGGACCGCACUCUCCUGAAUCUUGUCCGUGACUAGGGCACACGGGGUGUGACUCAUUGGCGAUAAUUUGGGAGUCACUGUGGUCCCACUUGCUCUUUAAAUGUUAGAGUUUUAAUGAUUUAGGAACCAAAAGAAUAACUAAGGAGCCCAGCAGUCAUUAUCUCAAAUAAUGAGACUUUUUAAUGCAAAAUCAAUGUUUGUUAUAAUGAAAAUAGAUUCCUCAGCUCCUGCAGGGCCAAAUGUACAAAUCUUUUCUGCUGUUAAAUAAAAUGUGACGGCUCAUUUUCAGGAGGAUGGUGAGCAUUUUUAUUCAAGAGUAAAAAUAAAAUGUCAGAACUUAUUUACUUUUAUUAAGUGCUCAUUCUCAAUCAGAUACUCUAAUCAAUAUCUAAUUGGAGGCAAGGAAACGGAAAAUAAUUUUUAUGCCGACUUGGGAGAAGGUAAGGAAGGGAGAAGGAAGGAAGGCAAGAGAAAGCCGUCUAGUACAUGUUCAGUUAUAAAAAGGCAGAUACCUACUGAGCAGAGGCGUGGCGGCAGGACUGCGCUCGGUUUCCCGGUGUCGGAUCAUCACGUCUGGUGAAGAUCGGGACCAUUGUGAUUCCCAUUUACAGAUGACAAAACUGAGGCUUAGAGAAGAGAAUUGUCUACCUUCUCAUGUUUCUUAUGCGGUGGAGCCAGGAUGGAAAACAAGGUCUGUCUGACCUCUUAGCCCUGGCUAUCAAUUACUCUAUUUAUCUGCCCCCUCCAUCCUUUUAAAAAAUAAGUCUUGUAUUUUAUCUUGUAAAAAAAAAAAACAAACGAGUCAUUCUUGAGAGAUUACCAAUAGCAGAAGUUUUACUCCUAUGAACAUUGAAAAUGUAAACUUAAAAUAGUUUUGGAGGGUAAAGAUUUUUCUUAAAUGUAUUACAUACUUCUGUCUUGGGAAGCAGUACAUUGUGUAACUUUUUUUUAGUGACUCAGAAGUGGUUUCCAGGCUUAACUCUGUGCUGUAAGGAAUCUGUAGUCUAACGGUGAGAAGUGAGUUGAAAUCUUAGCUCUAAAGUCUGUUACUGAGUGCCUUGGGCAAGUUUCCCUACUCUGUUUGUGAAAGGAUGGAUCUUGUAAUAUCCUAUGAUUUUAAGUUACAGGGAGGUACGUUACAUCACUGUAAAAAAGAAUUUUCUAACCAUUAGGGUUAUCUGAAACGUGGCUGGGCUGCCUGGAAAGGGAGAGCACUCUCCAUCCCUGGAGUUAUUCCAUCAAGACCCGUUGUGGCAAUGAUACAGUUGAUGCAAAGUAUCUCAAGCACUGACCUUAGGAGCAGUUUAGGGAGGGUCAGAAUCCUGUAGCCUCCAGCACCAUGACUCCUAAACCAUCAUUUCUUAUCUUGUGGCUAUCUUGUCAGUCCUACAAAGGCCUAGUCCCCAGGCAAGAAGGAGGUUUGUUUUGGAGAGGGGCUGUUACCAUUUUUUGUUUUAAACUAAGUUAUAAACUAAGUUUUGUUAUAAACUAAGUUUCUCCCAAAGUUAGUUCAGCCUAUAUCCAGGAAGGAACAAGGACAGCUUAAAGGUGAGAACCAAGAUGAAGUUGGUUAAGUCAGAUCUCUUUCACUGUCUCAGUCAUAAUUUUGCAAAGGCAGUUUCAGUAUAACUCUCAGUCUGAGGCUGAAUGCCUGAGAACCGCCAGUGUAUGUGUGUGUGUGUGUAUAUGUGUAUGUUCAUGUGCGUGCUUGUGUAAGUCUCGGAGUCUGAAGGCAGGAGAAACUGAAGUUCUGAUAUCCAAAGGUGGGAGAACGAAAGGUGAGAGGACAAAUUUGCCCUUCCUCUGCUCGUUUGUGUUCUAUUUGGGCCUUCACUGGGUUGUCCACCCACAUUGGUGAGGCUGGAUCUUCUGUACUCAGACCAUUGAUUCAAAUGUAAUCUCUUCCAGAAACACCCUCAGAGAUACACCCAGAAAGAAGAUUUUACCCGCUGUCUGGUUCUUCCUUAACCCACUCAAGCUGACACAUAAAAUUAACCCAUAACAAUUAGGAACCAAUAUUAUUAUUAUUUCCAUUUUACAGAUGAGGCACGUUGGGGUGAAGUAACUUGCACAGGUCCCUGCCACCAGUCAGAGGUGGAGCUGGGCUGCAAACCCAGUUCAAAACCAGCCAGAGGUGGAGCUGGGCUGCAAACCUAGUCCAAAACCAGUCAGAGGUGGAGCUGGGCUGCAAACCCAGUCCAAAACCAGCCAGAGGUGGAGCUGGGCAGUAAACCCAGUCCAAAACCAGCCAGAGGUGGAGCUGGGCUGCAAACCCAGUCCAAAACCAGUCAGAGGUGGAGCUGGGCUGCAAACCCAGUCCAAAACCAGCCAGAGGUGGAGCUGGGCUGCAAACCCAGUCCAAAACCAGUCAGAGGUGGAGCUGGGCUGCAAACCCAGUCCAAAACCAGCCAGAGGUGGAGCUGGGCAGUAAACCCAGUCUAAAACCAGCCAGAGGUGGAGUUGGGCUGCAAACCCAGUCCAAAACCAGCCAGAGGUGGAGCUGGGCAGCAUGGUUCCAGGGUCUGUGCUCCCAGCCCCUGUACUGACCUGCCAUUUACUGCAUUGCUUUGAGUUAAUCACGGCUCCCUGUAAAAUGGCAAAUUCUACCCUUACAGCCUACAAGCUGUGUGAUCUCAGGCAAGUCAUCUACCCUCUCUGAACUUUGGCUUCCUUGCCAGACAGUGGGAAUCGUGAUGUUUAUCACAUAGGGCUCUUGUGAGGUUGCCUGUGAUUUGUGAAACCGUCUUAUAUGGGCCUGGAACCUAGCUGGUGCUCAGAGGAUGCUAAUU